GACGAACGCUGGCGGCGUGCUUAACACAUGCAAGUCGAACGAAGUGGCGAACGGGUGAGUAACGCGUAAUCAACCUGCCCUUCAGAGGGGGACAACAGUGGGAAACGACUGCUAAUACCGCAUACUGAAGGAGGGGAGUGCGGCUGAUUAGCUGUUUGGAGGGGUAACGGCCCACCAAGGCGAUGAGCAGUAGCCGGCCUGAGAGGGUGGCCGGCCACGUCGUGACUGCGUUACGGCCCAGACUCCUCCGAGAGGCAGCAGUGGGGGCUAUUGCACAAUGGGUGAAAGCCUGAUGCAGCGACGCCGCGUGGGGGAUGAAGGCUUUCGGGUUGUAAACCUCUUUCGCUAUCGAACGGGUAGGUGGAGAAGAAGCGCCGGCUAACUACGUGCCAGCAGCCGCGGUAAUAC
rnacentral:rRNA from 1 species